rnacentral:lncRNA from 1 species
AGAGAUUCAAUAAUCAAAAUCUUAACAUGAUAAGCUACAUAUUUAUAUACAAUUUGAGACAAAAGAAGAGAUCAUUAAGAUAAUUAUUUAGGAUUUUACUAAAAUAAUACUCCAUAUCUCACAUAUAUAAUCUACCACCUACUAACUCAUUUACUAUAUUAUAAAAAUUUAUAAAGAAAAAAGCAUGCAGACAUACUUAAUAGUAUAUGCACCUAUAUUACAAUCCAUAACUAAUUAGUUCUUAAUUAACACCAAACUCAAAUUAAACUACUUAUAUAUAUGAACAUACUUAAUUAUAUA